rnacentral:lncRNA from 1 species
GUCGGCCCGAGUUAACUUCCGUUGUUCACAGUGAAGGAAGCCUCACUGAGGCGGAUGAAAGUACUUCUGGGAGUUUCCUGGUUGUUUAAAAUUCAAGAUCUAGGCCCCCCACUCUGGCCGUGUCUUUGAUCUGGUCCAAGCACCUGUGGUUUCUAAAUUCAAUCAGGAAGAGACCUUCAGAGGAGGGACCGGAGGACAGAGGAGGCCAUUUUUGACCAAGAUCAAAUGCUUCUCUGGGGAUGGGAAACUCAGUGGGAAGCGGCAGUUUACCCCACAAGGAGCAUGUGGGCAUCGAGGCAGCUUUCCAGCGUCUCCUCCUGUCUUGCCAAGGACACAAGAGCAAAGAUCCCUGGGGCAGACCCCCUCUUGAAUGAUCUUCUAGAAGCAUCUGCCUCUCACUGCUGGCGUUUCCAGCUCCCUUGUAAACUCAUCACCAGAGGAGAAGCCCGGGGAGGAAUGUCGCUGAGAGGUGUGGUCGGAUUCACCGUGCAGAAAAAGCACCGUGGCACCUGCGGGGGGACCAUCCAUUCCUUCACUCAUUCAUCCAGAAAGAGGCUACUGAAUAUUUACCUUCACUUUGCACAAUGCUGGGCACUGGGAAUUAAAAAAAAGAAAAAAUGAGACAAGGUUUCCAGGAACUCAGAGGUUCUCUUAAGAAAUCCAGAAAUUUAAAAAAAAAAAAAAAAAAGAAAGAAAGAAAGAAAUCCAGAAAUUAAAUAAGUAAGUAAGUAAAUAAAUAAAUAAAAAUUUUAAAAAUGAAAAAAAAAAUCCAGAAAUGAAAUUUAAAAAUCACACCCUAAAUCAAAGAUGCUAUUAACAUAGGGGACUGUAGUAUACUCGGGUCACUUGGAGGAAUUUGCAACCAGCGGCUUAAGGAGUUCAAAGGGAAGAUUUGGGGGGUGCCUGGAUGGCUGAGUCAGUUAAGCCUCUGCCUUCAGCUCAGGUCAUGAUUUCAGGGUCCUGGGAUGGAGCCCCACAGGACAGGGGCUCCCUGCUCAGCGGGGAGUCGCUUCUCAUUCUCCCUCUGCCCCUCCCCCUGCUCACUCUCUCUCUCUCUCUUUCUCUUAAGUAAAUAAAUAAAAUCUUAAAAAAAAUAUAAAGGGAAGAUUUUGGUGACAUUACCUUUGAGGCUGAAGGACGCGGGGGCUUGUAGGCUGAGAAACCAGGAGGGAGAAUCUUCCAGACAGGUAAGGGCAUGGGGGAAGUUGGACA